UACGUAGGUGGCAAGCGUUGUCCGGAUUUAUUGGGUUUAAAGGGUGCGUAGGCGGUCUUAUAAGUCAGUGCUGAAAUAUCCCGGCAUAACCGGGAGGGUGGCAUUGAUACUGUAGGACUUGAGUAAAGUUGAGGUUGGCGGAAUUGACGGUGUAGCGGUGAAAUGCGUAGAGAUCGGGAAGAACAUCGGUGGCGAAAGCGCUCUACUGGACGGUAUCUGACACUGAGGGACGAAAGCUAGGGGAGCGAAUGGG
rnacentral:rRNA from 1 species